CAGCCGCCGCGGGAAUACGAAGGGGGCUAGCGUUGUUCGGAUUUACUGGGCGUAAAGGGUGCGUAGGCGGAUUGUUAAGUCAGGGGUGAAAUCCCGAGGCUCAACCUCGGAACUGCCUUUGAUACUGGCGAUCUUGAGUCCGGGAGAGGUGAGUGGAACUGCGAGUGUAGAGGUGAAAUUCGUAGAUAUUCGCAAGAACACCGGUGGCGAAGGCGGCUCACUGGCCCGGAACUGACGCUGAGGCACGAAAGCGUGGGGAGCAAACAGGAUUAGAUACCCCUGUAGUCCCUGUCUCUUAUAA
rnacentral:rRNA from 1 species